rnacentral:rRNA from 1 species
UACAGGGGGGUGCAAACGUUGCUCGGAAUCAUUGGGCGUAAAGCGCACGUAGGCGGUUCGUUAUGUCGGAUGUGAAAGCCCUUGGCUUAACCGAGGAAGUGCAUCCGAAACUGGCGAGCUAGAGUACGAAAGAGGAUCGCGGAAUUCCUGGUGUAGCGGUGAAAUGCGCAGAUAUCAGGAGGAACACCGGUGGCGAAGGCGGGUCUCUGGGCCGAUACUGACGCUGAGGAGCGAAAGCGUGGGGAGCGAACAGG